AUGGAGAUCGUCAGUGGAAGAAAGAACCUUGACACGCCCCAAUCUGAAGAGAGCAUCCAUCUUAUUACCCUACUGGAAGAAAAGGUAAAGAACGGUCAGUUGGUAGAUUUGAUUGACAAGAACAGUAUUGACAUGCAAGCACAAGAGCAAGAUGUAAUUAAGAUGAUGAAGCUAGCAAUGUGGUGUUUGCAGAUUGAUUGGAAAAGAAGGCCUAAAAUGUCGGAGGUAGUGAAGGUCUUGGAAGGUACCAUGGAUGCAGAGAGCAAUAUAGAUCAUAACUUUGUUGCAACAAACCAAGCGAAUUUUGGCAUUGCUGCAAAUGCGACCUCUUCGGCUGCACAUCCAGCCUCACAUCUAUCAGGCCCCAGGUGA
rnacentral:rRNA from 1 species